rnacentral:tRNA from 1 species
AAGACUUUAAGUUAAUUAAACUAAAAACCUUCAAAGUUUUCAAUAGGCAUCCUCUAAGUCUUG